CUCAGGGAUGAGUUCUCGUGCUCAUCCGACGAGGCCUCCAUAGAUCUUGAGGAGGGAGCCUCCUAUGACCCACCGCUGAAAAGGGCAGUUAAGCCCCUGCAAGCCGGGGAACCGGUGACGGCGGACUUGCUUAAAGCCAUGUUUGCGGACCUGCGAAAAGACCUGGCCGCUGACAGGGCCCACUACAACACCGCCAUAGAAGGCGUCAAGGCCAAAGCCACACAACUCGAAGCCACCUCCAAUGUCCAUGAUGCCCGAAUCACGCAGGUGGAGCAGUCACUGGCAGACCUCCAAGACAGGCAACUAGCUGCUGAAAAUCGAGUAAACUCACUCGAAGACCAAAGACGACGAUACAAUUUAAAAGUUAGAGGCAUACCGGAGACCGUAGGCCUCAAGGACUUACCCCACUUCAUCAGACGCCUGUUUGAAGCUUUGAUGUUGCCCAAACAGGCCAAGGCCCUAAAGCUAGACGGGAUGUUCCGGCUUCCCAAGCCUGCACAGGUACCACAAACAACACCGGCGGACCUCAUCCUCCGCUUCCAAAACCUCCAGGACAAGAACACCUUCUCAGCCACAAUAAAAGGGAAAACCCCC